rnacentral:lncRNA from 1 species
CCUCUUUUAUUUUUUCAUGUUCUUUCCCUGCUCCUGCGUCCAACAAUCUCGCACCGAUCCAGUGGUUACUUGUUUUUUAUGGACAAGUUAUUCGUGUUGAAUUGCUUAAUAUGGCGAUGGACAAAGCAACGUUUCUACUGCUGCACUCCUCAGAGGUACAUAAUCAAUUUUACAUUAUCAGCAUCCAUAUAUUAAUUACUUUUCCUCUAUAAUCACCUACACAGUAAUGGUAAUAUCUCUAAUCAAUAGUUGUAGAAUCAUUCAACAAGCCGCACAAAGCUUAGUCUUUUAUAUGUAGUCACAUACAGCUGAUUAUUGAAGCAGCUUUAAACUAUGUCAUAAAAUAUUUUGGCUGGUCUCCCCUCUCAACUCUAUGUUUAUAUCCAAUAUAACCAUGAUUUUUGAUAACUUAGGGUUCAUGUACAUAUUUUUCAAGAACGAAUGUAUUUCAAAAACGAAAAUAUUGACACCUUUUAAGUAAGUAUUAACAACUAAAAGACCAAUCGUUAGACCAAUUAUUCUGUGACGCAUCAACUUUAAGUUGCGUUAGCUUAAGCCUCGUGCUAGUAAUUAUUUAGCCGUCUAGCUGUCAAACUUGAACUAUUAUUUGAAUAUUAGUAGGUUUUUUUCAGGUGAACAAGAUUCGCAUCUAAAAUAUGUCAUGUAAAAAGCCAUCUAAAAAUAAGUUCUGCGUAAGAACCAUUGUCAUGGCAUAACCAAGGCUUCAACUAUGUCUCUUCUUGUUGAUGGCUGUUCUUUUUCAUUUGUUCUCACGGCUCUUUCACUUGGAAAUUACUUCGUUGUGGAUGAGUUAAUUCCUUUUAAGUUAAUUCUAUAGUAGGAGUAGUUGUGGAGAGCCACUUUGUUUCUUUUAAAUCGUGAUGUAAAUGUUUCAAUCUAUGGAGAUGCCGAUUAUGGCUCCCCUUUUGUGUAGCCUUCUGGGAAGUGUAUUUAGGCAGGUUUGGGAUUUUGACUGUUGAAUUAAUUCCGUGUACUGGGUAGAUCUUGUAUCUGAUUGGAUGAUGGAAAAUUUGCAACUUAGAACUUGGGAAUAUCUUUGUUUCUGAUUCAUGCUGUCUGGGGUCCCACCUUGUGGUGGGGAGUGUUGCUCAGUUGAUGCAUGGAUGUUUUACCUGGUGCGUUCUAGUUUUGUUUGUGCUGUUGCUGCUGUUGAAGUUGAAGAUCUGAAGAUGCGUUUGCUGCUGUUGGAAGUUAAAUCAUUUUGGUCACACUGUUGG